AUAGGGAGAUGUGUCGCGCGCGAACGCUCGUUUGGCGUGCCGUGCGGGCGCGCCGAUGCGAGCCGCCCCGAGCUUGCGCGGAGGCGUGAAAAAUUCUUUCAAAAAACGCUUGCACGAAGCGUAGAUGCUGCCUACAAU
rnacentral:rRNA from 1 species